rnacentral:rRNA from 1 species
CCUACGGGUGGCAGCAGUGGGGAAUAUUGGACAAUGGGGGGGACCCUGAACCAGCGAAGCCGCGUGAGUGAAGAAGUAUUUCCGUAUGUAAAACUCUAUCAGCAGGGAAGAAAGAAAUGACGGUACCUGACUAAGAAGCCCCGGCUAAAUACGUGCCAGCACCAGCUGUAAUACGUAGGGGGCAGGCGUUAUCCGGAUUUACUGGGGGUAAAGGUAGCGUAGACGGGGAUGCAAGUCUGAAGUGAAAGGCGGGGGCCCAACCCCCGGACUGCUGUGGAAACUGUAUGGCUGGAGUGCAGGAGAGGUAAGUGGAAUUCCUAGUGUAGCGGUGAAAUGCGUAGAUAUUAGGAGGAACACCAGUGGCGAAGGCGGCUUACUGGACUGUAACGGACGCUGAGGCUCGAAAGCGUGGGGAGCAAACAGGAUUAGAUACCCUGGUAGUC